rnacentral:rRNA from 1 species
GUCACACCAUGGGAGUGGGUUUUGCCAGAAGUGGCUAGUCUAACCGCAAGGAGGACGGUCACCACGGCAGGAUUCAUGACUGGGGUGAAGUCGUAACAAGGUAGCCGUAUCGGAAGGUGCGGCUGGAUCACCUCCUUUCCAG